rnacentral:tRNA from 1 species
CGGGGCGUAGCUCAAAGGCUCGAACAUUCGGCUUUUACCCGAUCGGCGAGGGUUCGAUUUCCUCCGCCCCGA